CACGUGGGCAACCUGCCCGCAAGACCGGGAUAACUCCGGGAAACCGGAGCUAAUACCGGAUAACACCGAAGACCGCAUGGUCUUUGGUUGAAAGGCGGCCUUUGGCUGUCACUUGCGGAUGAGCCUAAGUCGGAUUAGCUUGUUGGUGAGGUAAAAGCUCACCAAGGCGACGAUCCGUAGCUGGUCUGAGAGGACGAUCAGCCACACUGGGACUGAGACACGGCCCAGACUCCUACGGGAGGCAGCAGUGGGGAAUAUUGGACAAUGGGGGAAACCCUGAUCCAGCAAUGCCGCGUGUGU
rnacentral:rRNA from 1 species